UACGGAGGGGGCUAGCGUUGUUCGGAAUUACUGGGCGUAAAGCGCGCGUAGGCGGCUUUGUAAGUUAGAGGUGAAAGCCCGGAGCUCAACUCCGGAACUGCCUUUAAGACUGCAUCGCUAGAACGAUGGAGAGGUGAGUGGAAUUCCGAGUGUAGAGGUGAAAUUCGUAGAUAUUCGGAAGAACACCAGUGGCGAAGGCGACUCACUGGACACUUACUGACGCUGAGACGCGAAAGCGUGGGGAGCAAACAGG
rnacentral:rRNA from 1 species